AUUUCUCUUAGAAUUGAAGGGAAUUGUUUAGUGAAUGGAAUAAUGUAUUCACUGAAUUCUUACGUAGUGGAUUGAAUAACUGUAUACAAGCAAGCUGAAACAGAAGAAAUUCUAAUUUAAAAUAACACGAAAAGUGUUUUAUUUUAUUAUUUAAUCUGCAAAUAUAUAAACAAAUUCUUUAGAACACCACAAAUGGUAUGACAUUCAAAUUGGUUGCUUAUUAAUGUAUCGCAUUGAAACAAUUACAAAGAAAAUAGAAGCAUUUGCUCCAAAAAAAAUUAUAAAUCAAAGUUAAAUUUAUAUAAAAAAGUAUAAACAAUACCUAGAUCUAAACAGUCAGACUGUAUUAUUUUCAAUGUCAUUAAAAUGUUGAGUCAAACAUUUAUUAAAGUUUUAAAUAUCAUUUGCAUCAAUUAUACAGUCUUGUAAUAAUUAUAUUCAUACUGUUUGUAUACAUGGUGUAGUGAAGAAAUGUUUAACAAGUAAAAAUAAGGGAAAACAUUUCCUUAAGGGAAAUUUGAUGUUCAGAAAUUUCCUUAGAGGAAAUUUGAAGAACAAUGAUUUCCCUAGAGGAAAUUUGUUGUCUUGAAUUUUCCUCCAAGGAAAAGUGUUUGUCAAAAAUUUCCUCACAGGAAAAAGUAUUUCCUCCAAGGAAAAUUUGAAGCUACAAAUUUCC
rnacentral:lncRNA from 1 species